UACGAAGGGGGCUAGCGUUGCUCGGAAUUACUGGGCGUAAAGGGCGCGUAGGCGGCACUGUUAGUCAGGCGUGAAAGUCCUGGGCUCAACCUGGGAACUGCGCUUGAUACGGCAGAGCUAGAGGAUGGAAGAGGGUCGCGGAAUUCCCAGUGUAGAGGUGAAAUUCGUAGAUAUUAGGAAGAACACCGGUGGCGAAGGCGGCGACCUGGUCCAUUACUGACGCUGAGGCGCGACAGCGUGGGGAGCAAACAGG
rnacentral:rRNA from 1 species